CGGAAGUUUUCAGAGAUGAGAAUGUGCCUUCGGGAACCGUGAGACAGGUGCUGCAUGGCUGUCGUCAGCUCGUGUUGUGAAAUGUUGGGUUAAGUCCCGCAACGAGCGCAACCCUUAUCCUUUGUUGCCAGCGGUCCGGCCGGGAACUCAAAGGAGACUGCCAGUGAUAAACUGGAGGAAGGUGGGGAUGACGUCAAGUCAUCAUGGCCCUUACGACCAGGGCUACACACGUGCUACAAUGGCGCAUACAAAGAGAAGCGACCUCGCGAGAGCAAGCGGACCUCAUAAAGUGCGUCGUAGUCCGGAUUGGAGUCUGCAACUCGACUCCAUGAAGUCGGAAUCGCUAGUAAUCGUGGAUCAGAAUGCCACGGUGAAUACGUUCCCGGGCCUUGUACACACCGCCCGUCACACCAUGGGAGUGGGUUGCAAAAGAAGUAGGUAGCUUAACCUUCGGGAGGGCGCUUACCACUUUGUGAUUCAUGACUGGGGUGAAGUCGUAACAAGGUAACCGUAGGGGAACCUGCGGUUGGAUCACCUCCUUACCUUAAAGAAGC
rnacentral:rRNA from 1 species